CUGGAACAACUCCGGAAAUCCAUCCCAGUUCUAGAACUCCCUGUAAGAUCAUGUGAAGUCCCCAUGAUAACUGUGUUAUUACGCAACUCUUCCCUCUGCCGCCCUGCUUCCCCCUACACAGAUACUCCUGAAAUCACACCCGGCUGUACCCAUGAGCAAGUCCCCAUCUCGGAGCUUUUUCCCAAAACUAAGACAGUUCCCAGAUGCUGUCCUGGGAACUAGACUCUGAAACAAGAUUUUGGAGCUGGAUCCCUCUCUGACUGGCCAGCAAUGAAGACUAGUGUCUUAAAUUUGAACAUUAUACCUAGAGAUGGAACUUAAGCCCAUGAGGAUGAAAGCCAUAUACUAAGGAUUGCAGAACAAGAAAAGGAUCCUGAUUUCUCAUCGACAUCCUUGAACAAGGAAGGUAGAAUGAUUACCUCCAAGUCCCUGCUAAGUCUGAAAACUCAAACCCUGUUUGGCAAACCACUGUAGUUCAGGUGUAGUUAAGUUACAUGUGGCCAAAGAAAAUCUUAGCCAAUAAACUAUGCCAAGGGGAAACCAAGAGGUCUACCAUACUGAUUGUUUUCAGUCUGUUUAUCUUCCAGGAGCAACACCAUGAAUUUCAUUGGCCUUUCUUGACGUGACAUCAGUUGUGUGUAUUUUCAUGCUACUUCUCUCCAUGCAUGAGGAACCCAGGCAUUUCAAGUUGAGAAAACAUUUCACAGCAGAAGCUAAAUAUUCUGAACUUGCAAGCAACAAGAUGAGAAACAUGAUCUCUCUGUUUCAGAUUCACAGAUACUUUACAGCAGAUCUCUGAAUUCUGAAAGGAAUACCAUUUCCACCUCUGAGUCUAGAUGAUUAUAUUGGAACUAAAUGAAUGAUGUCAGAAACCAGGUCUUUAACAACACUACACAAAGAAAUAUGCUAAUGUAGGAUCUACUUUUAUCAUUUUUCUGACUGUGAUUAAACCCAACAAUAACCACAAGAACAAGGGAAGGCAAGAAACCAACGCUGUGAAAAGUAGCCCUAUAGAGAGAAACAUAAGGAAACAUAAGAGGCUCAGGAAGAGAUUGCUGAUUUGAUAGCUGACCAGCCUCACCACAGUUUCUAAUUUUGUGAGGGCUUUCCAAGGUUUGACUUCAGUAUCCCCUUCUGUGAAACGGAGGCCAGAUCAUGCCUCACAGACCAUGCUUUGAUGUUUUGAAGACAAAAAUAUUUUUUUGCAUGGUUAUCCAGAUUUAUUUUCCCUGACUACAUUUCCCAAAAGAAGCACAGAGAUAUCUUUUUCUUCAGGUUGGUAGCUCUAAUUUGAGUU
ensembl:lncRNA